rnacentral:lncRNA from 1 species
AAAUUUGCACAAAUGGAAUUUGGAAGAUUAAAAUUGCACAAUUGUGGUGCCUGGAGAGCAUAAUCAGGUUUCCAUUUUAAUAUGGUUAUCAAAUGAGAAUAAAAUGUGGUCUAACACCCACCCUCUAUCACUGUGUCUAAAAUUAAUUUUUGUUGUCGCUCAACCCCUUUACAACCAUUAUUCAAUGCCCUUACCAUCUUGCCAUCCUAACAUCUAUCACUUCCAUUGAUUGAUACUACCACUUCACCAUUAGCACAGCUGUUGUCUCCCAUCCAUCGUCACCACUCUAAACUUGCCAUUGCCAAGAGGCACUUUGACCAUGCUUGAUAAAAGAGUUAUUUUAUAUUUAAUAAUUCAUGAUGUAUCAUGCCAUCUACUCCGUCUCAAACAGGGACUAAGAUAUCUGUCUACUGAUAUAUGUGGUGCAUAUCAAACAUUGUGUAUGAUACGAUC